rnacentral:snoRNA from 1 species
ACGAUAUUACUUGAACAAGAUCUGUUCUAUAGCCUCGUACCACUUUAUCCUUGAGUUCUAAGGAGACAGGAAACCAAGCCAUGGCGGAUGAACCAUGGCCAUUGGACCAGAGCAUGAUUAACAGUCCCAUAGACUUCAGGUCAUGGCCAUGGCACUGUAGAGGAUCGUUCAUUUCUGAGAAACAAGCA